UCAAAUUUGAAAUCUGGCAGUCUUCGAUUGUCCGACUUGUAAUCUAUACAGGCGUUUUCCGUGCCGGACCGUGUCCAAGUCUCCUGGAAAGGAGUAUCAAAGAGGGUGAUAAUCCCGUACUUAACACGACCACCGGUGCUCUGUGAUACGUCUUCUACGAGUCGAGUUGUUUGGGAAUGCAGCUCAAAAUGGGUGGUGAAUUCCAUCUAAAGCUAAAUAUUGGCGAGAGACCGAUAGCGAACAAGUACCGUGAGGGAAAGAUGAAAAGCACUUUGGAAAGAGAGUUAAACAGUACGUGAAAUUGUUGAAAGGGAAACGAUUGAAGUCAGUCGUGUUCUUUGGAUUCAGCCAGUUCUGCUGGUCUACUUCCUUGGAACGGGUCAACAUCAGUUUUGUCCGGUGGAUAAAGGUAGUAGGAAUGUGACUUCUC
rnacentral:rRNA from 1 species